UACGUAGGGUGCGAGCGUUAAUCGGAAUUACUGGGCGUAAAGCGUGCGCAGGCGGUGAUGUAAGACCGAUGUGAAAUCCCCGGGCUUAACCUGGGAACUGCAUUGGUGACUGCAUUGCUGGAGUAUGGCAGAGGGGGGUGGAAUUCCACGUGUAGCAGUGAAAUGCGUAGAGAUGUGGAGGAACACCGAUGGCGAAGGCAGUCCCCUGGGCCAAUACUGACGCUCAUGCACGAAAGCGUGGGGAGCAAACAGG
rnacentral:rRNA from 1 species